rnacentral:tRNA from 1 species
GGCUGGGUGGUAGACCGGUUCAUAUGCGUGGUUGAAGCCCACGAGAAGCCAGUUCGAUUCUGGCCCCAGCCAC